rnacentral:rRNA from 1 species
CAGCAGUAGCCACGGUAAUACGGAGGAUCCAAGCGUUAUCCGGAAUCAUUGGGUUUAAAGGGUCCGUAGGCGGUCUUGUAAGUCAGUGGUGAAAGCCCAUCGCUCAACGGUGGAACGGCCAUUGAUACUGCAGGACUUGAAUUAUUGGGAAGUAACUAGAAUAUGUAGUGUAGCGGUGAAAUGCUUAGAGAUUACAUGGAAUACCAAUUGCGAAGGCAGGUUACUACCAAUUGAUUGACGCUGAUGGACGAAAGCGUGGGUAGCGAACAGGAUUAGAUACCCGCGUAGUCCCUGUCUCUUAUAC